rnacentral:rRNA from 1 species
ACUCAAAUGAAUUGACGGGGACCCGCACAAGCAGAGGAGGAUGUGGUUUAAUAUGACGCUACGCGUAGAACCUUACCGAGGCUUGACAUCCCUAGAACCCGCUGGAAACAGUGGGGUGUCUUCGGAAGCUAGGUGACAGGUGCUGCAUGGCCGUCGUCAGCUCGUGUCGUGAGAUGUUGGGUUAAGUCCCGCAACGAGCGCAACCCUUAUCGUAUGUUGUAUUUCUCAUGCGAGACUGCCCGGGCCAACCGGGAGGAAGGUGGGGAUGACGUCAGGUCGGCAUGGCCCUUACGCCUCGGGCCACACACGUCCUACAAUGGCCGGUACAACGCGCCGCGAAGCCGCGAGGCGGAGCUAAUCGCACCAAAACCGGUCUCAGUUCGGAUUGCAGGCUGCAACUCGCCUGCAUGAAGUCGGAUUUGCUAGUAAACGUGGGUCAGCACACCGCGUUGAAUACGUUCCCGGGUCUUGCACACACCGCCCGU